rnacentral:rRNA from 1 species
UACGAGAGGUCAUCAGUGUUCGCGAUUUACUGGGCGUAAAGAGCGCGCAGGCGGUCGUUCAAGUCGCGUGUGAAAGCCCCCCGGCUCAACUGGGGAGGGUCACGCGAUACUGAUCGACUCGAAGGCAGGAGAGGGUAGUGGAAUUCCCGGUGUAGUGGUGAAAUGCGUAGAUAUCGGGAGGAACACCAGUGGCGAAGGCGACUACCUGGCCUGUUCUUGACGCUGAGGCGCGAAAAGCUAGGGGAGCAAACGGG